AUUGAACGCUGGCGGCCGGCCUAACACAUGCAAGUCGAGCGAGCGGCGGACGGGUGAGUAAUGUCUGGGAAACUGCCUGAUGGCGGGGGAUAACUACUGGAAACGGUAGCUAAUACAGCAUACCAUCAGAUGUGCCCAGAUGGGCUUAGCUAGUCGGUGGGGUAACGGCUCACCUAGGCGACGAUCCCUAGCUGGUCUGAGAGGAUGACCAGCAACACUGGAACUGAGACACGGGCCAGACUCCGACGGGAGGCAGCAGUGGGGAAUAUUGCACAAUGGGAGCAAGCCUGAUGCAGCCAUGCCGCGUGUAUGAAGAAGUCCUUCGGGUUGUAAAGUACUUUCAGCGGGGAGGCGUUACCCGCAGAAGAAGCACCGGCUAACUCCGUGCCAGCCGCCGCGGUAAUAC
rnacentral:rRNA from 1 species